CUCUCCCUUUUCCUCACCGUUGAGGCAGUUGGACCAUUCUCGGGUCGCUCAAAUUUGGGCAGACUCAUCGAUGGGAUGAGAUCAGAGGGGAAAAGCCUUGGCACGUCUGAGUUCCGGCUGCCCGUCUGAGCUUCUCUGUAGCCGCUUGCAGCCCCAGUAGCUUUCUCCAUGUCUGGUGCUCCCCAACAUCUCCGACAACCAACUGUUGCCAGACAACUGUUUGUGGUUUUGUCCAAGUGGGAAACAAAAAUAAAAACUUCUCAUUGUUUGAUGCUUGAGAUGUUGUUUUCAUCUGUGUCAGAUUUUAAAUUGUGUUGAGAUCAUUAUGCCACUUGAGAGACUUGAUAGAUUUGCAGCAUUCAAAAACCUAGGUGUACCCACUCUUUGCAGCAGAUGGUGUAGCUGUUGUUGUGCAAAACAUCUCCACCAACCCUCAAAGUUAGGAUCGUCAUUUCACUUACCUGAUACCAGAUGGAGAUUGUGAAUACAACAAUGAAGAGAAUCAAUACUGGCCAUGCCACUUGACUCAUGAGAAUAAUGAUGCACAGAAGCUGAAUAAGUGCAAAAACCAAUCCCGCCACUCUGUAUGGAAUAUCUGUGUCAACAGUACUCUGGUCUGUUGAAGACUGAAAAAGGGAGCAAUAAUAGGAGAAACAUUAGGUACUGACCCUGUUAAGAAUUCGGCUGGCAACCCAGUAGUUGCUGCCCAUCUGUAGACCCUGGAAGAGAACUUGACAGAACAGUAGUACUGGAAUAAAAGCCCCUUUAUAUGCUGAAGUCACAAAGCUAUUUGCUGAACAAGGUCUCCAUUGCUGUCCAUCAUCAGAUCUUCGUACUUACCAGAUUGAACCACCUUCCCAUCUUUCAAGACCUGAAAAAUGUUGGUGAAGGAAAUAAAUUUUAGUCUUCAUUAUCAGUGUGGGUGUUCUCGACAUGGAAUCAGCUUCCCAGGUGUACUCCCCCGGCUCGAUCUCUACUCCGAUGUCUG